UGCUGCACAUUAACCCAUGCCAUUUCC
rnacentral:piRNA from 1 species